rnacentral:misc_RNA from 1 species
AAAGUCGUAACAAGGUUUCCGUAGGUGAACCUGCGGAAGGAUCAUUAACACAAAUCCAUUCUCAAACAAACCCGUGCUCUUGUAUAAAAACAAACCUGUUCUGGAGUAGUCGCAAGACUAUGAAGGAAAUUACUUUUUAACCCCUUUAACCCCUUUUUUGCUAAUUGCAACUGACGUAUGUCUUCUGCGCAAGCAGUGGAUGAAAUACGAAACGCUGAACAAUUCUUAGCAAUGGAUGUCUAGGCUCUC